AAUAAUAGAAAAAGGGUAAUACUAGUACUUUUAGUCCUCGUGGAUACGAUAUUCCCUACUCACCAUUACUAUAGUAUUGUUCGAUGGGUGUGCUUGCCUUAGUCAGACACACGGGCGUGUUCGAGGCCGUGUAAAGACUGGGCUUAUAUUUUUAAAAAAUGCACAUAGGCUGAAAAGGAAGCACAUGACCGUGUCACCCAUUUAAACCCCAAACCCUAAAUAUACUUUUCACUUUGUCUUCUUCCCA
rnacentral:lncRNA from 1 species